CACCAACACCACCGAUAACACCGCCAACACCACCGAUAACACCGUCAACACCACCGAUAACACCGCCAACACCACCAAUAACACAGUCAACACCACCGAUAACACUAUCAUCACCACCGAUAAACACCCAAACACCACCGAUAACACAGUCAAACACCACCGAUAAACACCGUCAACACCACCAAUAACACCGUCAACACCACCAAUAACACCGUCAACACCACCGAUAACACAGUCAACACCACCGAUAACACAGUCAACACCACCGAUAACACCGUCAACACCAACGCCACGAUAACACAGUCAACACCACCGAUAACACCGUCAACACCAACACCACCGAUAACACCGUCAACACCACCAAUAUCACCCUCAACACCACCGAUAAUACCCUCAGCACCAACACCACCGAUAACACCGCCAACACCACCAAUAACACAGUCAACACCACCGAUAACACCGUCAACACCACCGAUAACACCGUCAACACCAACACCACCGAUAACACCGUCAACACCACCAAUAUCACCCUCAACACCACCGAUAACAGUCAACACCACCGAUAACACAGUCAACACCACCGAUAACACCGUCAACACCACCGAUAACACCGUCAACACCACCGAUAACACCGUCAACACCACCGAUAACACAGUCAACACCACCGAUAACACAGUCAACACCACCGAUAACACCGUCAACACCACCGAUAACACAGUCAACACCACCGAUAACACAGUCAACACCACCGAUAACACCGUCAACACCACCGAUAACACAGUCAACACCACCGAUAACACAGUCAACACCACCGAUAACACCUCAACACCACCGAUAACACCGUCAACACCACCGAUAACACCG
ensembl:lncRNA